GUGUCAGCCGCCGCGGUAAUACAGAGGGUGCGAGCGUUAAUCGGAUUUACUGGGCGUAAAGGGCGCGUAGGCGGUGAGAUGAGUGUGAUGUGAAAGCCCCGGGCUUAACCUGGGAAGAGCAUCGCAAACGAUCUGACUGGAGUAUAUGAGAGGGUGGCGGAAUUUCCGGUGUAGCGGUGAAAUGCGUAGAGAUCGGAAGGAACGUCGAUGGCGAAGGCAGCCACCUGGCAUAAUACUGACGCUGAGGCGCGAAAGCGUGGGGAUCGAACAGGAUUAGAUACCCUGGUAGUCCACGCUGUAAACGAUGAGAACUAGAUGUUGGUUGGGGAACCAAUCGGUAUCGAAGCUAACGCGAUAAGUUUUCCGCCUGGGAAGUACGGCCGCAAGGUUGAA
rnacentral:rRNA from 1 species